rnacentral:rRNA from 1 species
AGCAGUAGCCACGGUAAUACGAGGGGGGCAAGCGUUGUUCGGAAUUAUUGGGCGUAAAGGGCGCGUAGGCGGUUUGACAAGUUUCAUGUGAAAUCUAUGGGCUCAACCCAUAGUCUACAUGGAAAACUGUCGGGCUUGAGUAUGGGAGAGGUGAGUGGAAUUUCCGGUGUAGCGGUGAAAUGCGCAGAUAUCGGAAGGAACACCUGAGGCGAAAGCGGCUCACUGGACCAUAACUGACGCUGAGGCGCGAAAGCUAGGGGAGCAAACAGGAUUAGAUACCCGCGUAGUCCCUGUCUCUUAUAU